rnacentral:rRNA from 1 species
AGUGAACGCUGGCGGUAGGCCUAACACAUGCAAGUCGAACGGCAGCACAGGAGAGCUUGCUCUCUGGGUGACGAGUGGCGGACGGGUGAGGAAUACAUCGGAAUCUACCUUUUCGUGGGGGAUAACGUAGGGAAACUUACGCUAAUACCGCAUACGACCUACGGGUGAAAGUGGGGGACCGCAAGGCCUCACGCGAUUAGAUGAGCCGAUGUCCGAUUAGCUAGUUGGCGGGGUAAUGGCCCACCAAGGCGACGAUCGGUAGCUGGUCUGAGAGGAUGAUCAGCCACACUGGAACUGAGACACGGUCCAGACUCCUACGGGAGGCAGCAGUGGGGAAUAUUGGACAAUGGGCGCAAGCCUGAUCCAGCCAUACCGCGUGGGUGAAGAAGGCCUUCGGGUUGUAAAGCCCUUUUGUUGGGAAAGAAAUCCUGUCGAUUAAUACUCGGUGGGGAUGACGGUACCCAAAGAAUAAGCACCGGCUAACUUCGUG